AGAGAGAGAGAGAGAAUCUUAAGCCGGCUCCACGCUCAAGUGUGCAGCCCAAUGUGGGGCUUGAUCCCACGAACUGUGAGAUCAUGACCUGAGCUGAAAUCAAGAGUCGGACGUUCCGCCGAUUGAGCCCCUCAGGUGCCCCUCGAAUAAAUAUAUUUAAGAGAAUUAGAAUUUCAGUUUUGAAAUGUUGUCUAAAUCCUCUAAUAAUUGAUAGAAAAUAAGUAAACAGGAAUGGCAGUGUGAGUAAUUCAAGUAGCAGUGAAUGUAGAAAUCAUUCGUGGAACAAACUAGAAUAGCUGGUGCCGUCCCCCCACCCUGCACCCAUCACGUACAAACUCACCUUCCUGUGUCUGUUAAUCAAUGUGGUGUGUGUGAUGGGGCAGCCGGAGGCAACUGGGGAGGUUAAAAGUGGAGGUGAAUCCAGAAGAAAUGGCAAAUGUUUAUGAGGAUGUGAGGAAAAAGGAACAGUUGUGCACUCUUGGUGGGAACGCAAACUGGUGCAGCCAUUGUGGAAAACAGUAGGGAGGUUUGUCACAAAAUUAAAAAUGGAACUACACUAUGACCCAGUAAUUGCACUAUUGGGCAUUUACCCAAAGCGUACGAGAACACUAAUUAAAAAGGAUACAUGCACUUCCAUGUUUAUUGCAGCCUUAUUUGCAAUAGCCAAAUAAUGGAAACAGCUCAGUUGUCCAUUGAUAGAUGAAUGAAUAAAGAAGAUGUGGCAUAUAUAUAUGCAUAUAUAUACAUGUACAUAUAUGCAAUAGAAUAUUACUCAGCCAUAAAAAAGAAUGAAAUCUUGCCAUUUGCAGCAACAUGGAUGGAUCUAGAACAAAAUAAGCCAGUGAAAGACAAAUACCAUAUGAUUUCACUCAAAUUACAUUCACCGGAAUUUAAAGAACAAAACAAACAGAGGAAAGAAAAGUGACAAAACAGACUCUCCCGGACUUCAAGCUGUAUUACAAAGCUAUAAUUAUCAAGACAGUAUGGUACUGUCAUAAGAACAGACACUCAGAUCAAUGGAACAGAAUAGAGAACCCAGAAAUGGACCCACAAACAUAUGACCAACUAAUCUUUGACAAAGCAGGAAAGAAUAUCCAAUGGAAUAAAGACAGUCUCUUCAGCAAGUGGUGCUGGGAAAACUGGACAGCGACAUGCAGAAGAAUGAACCUGGACCACUUUCUUACACCAUACACAAAAAUAAACUCAAAAUACUACCUAAAUGUGGGAAGCCAUCAAAAUCCUCGAGGAGAAAGCAGGCAAAAACCUCUUUGACCUUGGCCUCAGCAAACUUCUUACUCAACACGUCUCCAGAGGCAAGAGAAACAAAAGCAAAAAUGAAUUACUGGGACCUCAUCAAAAUAAAGAGCCUCUGCACAGCAAAGGAAACAAUCAGCAAAACUAAAAGACAACUGACAGAAAGGGAGAAGAUAUUUGCAAAUGACAUAUCAGUUAAAGGGUUAGUAUCCAAAAUCUAUAAAGAACUUAUCAAACUUAACACCCAAAAAACAAAUAAUCCAGUGAAGAAAUGGGCAAAAGACAUGAAUAGACACUUCUCCAAAGAAGACAUCCAGGUGGCCAACCGACACAUGAAAAAAUACGCAACAUCACUCAUCAUCAGGGAAAUACAAAUCAAAACCACAAUGAGAUACCACCUCACACCUGUCAGAACAGCUAACAUUAAUAACUCAGGCAACAUCAGAUGUUGGCGAGGAUGUGGAGAAAAAGGAUCUCUUUUGCGCUGCUAGUAGGAAUGCAAGCUGGUGCAGCCACUCUGGAAAACAGUAUGGAGGUUCCUCAAAAAAUAAAAAUAGAACUACCCUACGACUCAGCAAUUGCACUACUAGGUAUUUAUCCAAGGGAUACAGGUGUGCUGUUUCAAAGGGACACAUGCACCCCAAUGUUUAUGGCAACACUAUCGACAAUAGCCAAAGUAUGGAAAGAGCCCAAAUGUCCAUCGAUGGUUGAAUGGAUAAAGAAGAUGUGGUAUAUAUAUACAAUGGAGUAUUCCUCGGCAGUCAAAAAGAAUGAAAUUGUGCCAUUUGCAACUACAUGGAUGGAACUGAAGGGUAUUAUGCUAAGUGAAAUUAGAGAAAGACAAAUAUGACUUCACUUAUAUGAAGACUUUAAGAUACAAAACAGAUGAACAUAAGGGAAGGGAAGCAAAAAUAAUAUAAAAACAGCGAGGGAGACAAAACAUAUGAGUCUUAAAUAUGGAGAACAAACGGAGGGUUACUGGAGGGUUUGUGGGAGGGGGGAUGGGCUAAAUGGGUAAGGGGCAUUAAGUAAUCUACGCCUGAAAUUAUUGUUGCACUAUAUGCUAACUUCCUGGGAUGUAAAUUAAAAAAUAAAUUAAAUUAAAAAAAAGAAUAAUGGCCCUGCAGGAACUUGGGAGAUGUUUUUUUCCAGACUGCACAUCACAUUAAAGGGGAAAAAAAUAAAGGGAGAGACAGAACCAACUUAAAAAGCAUUUCUUUGCCAGUUAAAGACUGGAUCAAAUAAAAUCGCAUUUUUUUUAUAAAGAAGAAAAAAAACCCAGAUUCUUAAUUAUAGAGAACAAACAGAUGGUUCCCAGAGGGGAGGUGGGUGGGGGAUGGAUGAAAAAGGUAAAGGAGAUUAGGAGCACACUUAUCUUGCUGAGCACUGAAUAGUAUAUGGAAUUGUUCUAUCACUAUAUUGUAUACUUGAAACUAAUAUAACAUUGGAUGUUCACUACACCGGAAUUAAUUUUUUUUUUUUAAUGGUGGUUAAUCUUAGUGGAACUUGAGCAGCUGCAGGAAUUGGGUUUGUGGUUCAAAUUUAGUGAAAGAUAAUUGACAUGAGAAUUGAUAGUUCUUGUAAUGCGUCUGUGUCCUGCACCACCAGUUACCAAAAAGUCAUUUGUUUUGUUUGAAUUUUUUCAGUCUGCAACUCAAAAAAGUACAAUUGUACGUAUUUGAAGCUUAUUGCUGACACUGAAGGCUGCUAGGCACUAGAGUGGGUCUUUGAGAGAAGACUGGACUGUCCUCACAUGGAAUUGGCAAUUCUCAAGUCUCUUACUGAUGAUAACGUACCGUCAUCUGACAAAGAGUUCAGUUCUCUUUUAUAAAUCAGAGUUGACUUAACUGGGAAGUUAACAGUGUCUGGAAGUAUCAUCAAGGGUGGGAAAAUGUUGGGGGCUGUUGUGCUGAAGACGGGGGGAGCCCCGUUUGCAGGUCUGAGAUGAUUACAGCCAAUUGGCCACCGUGGGCAGUACCUUCUAAUCCUGUAUACCUAUAACUUUUUGUCCCCAUACCUACCCCUAAGAGUGUUGGUAAACUAAGUAAUAAGAUGAAGAA